rnacentral:rRNA from 1 species
GAUGAACGCUGGCGGUAUGCUUAACACAUGCAAGUCGAACGGACUCUUCGGAGUUAGUGGCGGACGGGUGAGUAACGCGUGAGAAUCUGGCUUUGGGUUCGGGACAACCACUGGAAACGGUGGCUAAUACCGGAUGUGCCGAGAGGUAAAAGAGAAAUUGCCUGAAGAUGAGCUCGCGUCUGAUUAGCUAGUUGGUGAGGUAAAGGCUCACCAAGGCAGCGAUCAGUAGCUGGUCUGAGAGGAUGACCAGCCACACUGGGACUGAGACACGGCCCAGACUCCUCGGGGAGGAAGCGGUGGGAAAUUUCCCGCAAUGGGGGAAGGCUGGACGGAGAAUUCCGGGGGGGGGAAAGAAGGUUUUGGGGUUGAAACCUCUUUUCUUAGGGAAGAACAAAAUGACGGUACCUAAGGAAUCAGCAUCGGCUAACUCCGUG